rnacentral:other from 1 species
GUGCACCUGCCCUGAUGGUGAUUAGGUUAAAAAGCUUUUCCUACAAUUGGAUUUUUAACGGGAGUUUGAGUAAGGGUGUUUAGAGAGCAUACCAUAUUCGGUGGAAGCCUGAUACACCCUUUAGGACACCCACCUGUAGACACAGGGUCUAAAGCUUUUUCGUCUACACCUCUAGGGCGGGGCAUU